rnacentral:rRNA from 1 species
UAGAACCUACGGGACGCAGCAGUGGGGAAUAUUGCGCAAUGGGGGCAGCCCUGACGCAGCAACGCCGCGUGAUUGAAGAAGGCCUUCGGGUUGUAAAGAUCUUUAAUCAGGGACGAAAAAUGACGGUACCUGAAGAAUAAGCUCCGGCUAACUACGUGCCAGCAGCCGCGGUAAUACGUAGGGAGCAAGCGUUAUCCGGAUUUACUGGGUGUAAAGGGCGUGUAGGCGGGCUUGUAAGUCAGAAGUGAAAUCUGGGGGCUCAACCCCCAAACUGCUUUUUAAACUGCGGGUCUUGAGUGAUGGAG